rfam:Caldibacillus debilis strain B4135 NODE_48, whole genome shotgun sequence.
UGGCCGGCGGAAGUCCGGUCGCGGGAGGGGCCAAGCCCCCCGCAGCCGGGAGCCUGGGUACGGAGAAAUCCGCGCGCAGAAGCGCAUCGACGAAAGCACCUGUCGGAGACAGGGCGAGCAACAUGCCAGGCCGUAACAUGA